CUAAGGCCGAUGGCGACCGGCGCACGGGUGAGUAACACGUAUCCAACCUGCCCUUUACUCGGGGAUAGCCUUUCGAAAGAAAGAUUAAUACCCGAUAGCAUAAUGAUUCCGCAUGGUUUCAUUAUUAAAGGAUUCCGGUAAAGGAUGGGGAUGCGUUCCAUUAGGUUGUUGGUGGGGUAACGGCCCACCAAGCCUUCGAUGGAUAGGGGUUCUGAGAGGAAGGUCCCCCACAUUGGAACUGAGACACGGUCCAA
rnacentral:rRNA from 1 species